AUACACCACGCAUUAAAAUUGUUUUUUUCCCGCUUAUUUUAUUAUUAUUCGUGUUAUCCUGGUUCGUGUUGGUCCAUAAGUACGGUAUACACCGCAAUAAUGAAUAACAUCACGGCUACGGCCGAAAAAAAUCGAGGCAUUUAACGCGAACGAGUUUUUUUUUUUCCCCCCGAUUGAUAUUUUAAUACGGAUUUUAAGAUUAUUGACUCGUUUAUCCUCAUCG